AGAUAAGAUCCAGUUUCCUUACAUACCAGAAGUCGGCCUAAAUAGUGCCCAAUUCUCUGCAUACCAUGCCCAGAGUGGUGAAGUGUUUGAUCCUCCAAAUCUCUACAGAUGGAAAAGCAAACUGAGAGCAACCUCAUCUGCUCUUGAGAAAGAGAAAGAAAAGACAGGAACUAGUCCAACAGUUGACCUGCACUGAAUAGUUUAAUGCUACCCUUUUAACAGCUGGAAAUUUUUCAUGGAAUGGUUCCAACCACUCCUCAACUUGGGAAAAAAUCAUUCAGGAACCUUCUGCCUUACAAGCAAUUCAUAACCCCUGGCAAAGUUGAAUCUAAAAAAUAUACAACGUGCCUAUGAGUCAUCCUUAAAAUACUUUUCUUCAAUAAGCUUCUGUAAUGGGGAAAAAUUAUCAUUCCACACAAGCUUCUGAGACUUGUUACCACUUUGCAGAUUGAAUAACCCUUGGAGACAAGGCAAUCUACCGGCUAGACAGCCUGGAAACAGCUUCCAGACCAAUCAGCUGCUGGGAAACAGUUUUUGGCCCAAUCACCCACCUGGAAACUGUACAUGGACCACUCGCUGUCUUCUAAGAACCACUUCUCCUAAAAUCUGCCACUGCUGCCUUGCAAACCAAACCAGAGAGAGAAAAUAUACCUGAAUUAUUUCUACACUGACCUUGUGAGUCCCAGCCCAUUUGUGCCCUUUUGACAAGUGCUUCGAACUCCAUGCCCCUCAGUGGAAUUCAUUCUGUAUUGAAUAAUUUUUUGGCCAAGCCCUAUCCCUUGUGGAAAGAGACCUGGCCUGAAUCCUAAAUUCAGCACUCUGCAAGGCUGCACAAGAUCUCACCUUUGUGUGCAUUUCCAGCCUCCUCCAGCAGCCCUCUUCCCCUGGCUCUCUGCCCACCAGGCAUAUGAGACUUUCAGUUCCCUGAAUGCCCUGGGCUCCUGCUUGCCUGAGGCCCCAAGGCCUCCACCGAAACAGUUUCCUUGCCUGGAGUACCACCCUGCAACACCCUCUCCUUCUUUUCAGAAAGUCAUGCUCAUUACUCACUCAGGUUUCAACAGAAAUAUCAUUUCCCCGAUGAAAUAGUCCCUCAUCUCCCAAAGUAGGUCAGGUUCCUAUCCUGGAGGAACCCUGGGAAAGCACCUCACAGGGUCUGAGUUGCUCUGAAGCCAGCACAGAACCAUGGAAUUUCCCUCUUAAAGAUAGCAGAUGUCCUUAACAGGUCCUGACCUUUGUAACUUGUCCUUAAGUAAGUCACUCCCCUGCUCAGAAAUCAGGAGGAGUAUGUGUAACCUCUAAAAAUCCCUGACUUAAAAGCCAGUUUUGGUUUAGAAAUAAUGCUGGCUUGCUUUUUAUGUUACAUAAGAAGAGCAGUGUGCCCCCUCAGUGCCCUAAAUGAGGUAAGAGAGCCGUGAUUGGAAGUUAGCCGAAAACCCAGAGCUUCUGCCCUCAGGAAGCGAUGCGACAGAGGCAGAACAAGAUGGAACGAAGAUGAGACUAAAGGCAGGAAAACCACUUAUGAGGCCACUGCAAAUAACCAAAGGCCUGAAUUAAAGCAAUGAAUGCUUUCAUUCAUGGAAAAAGAGAGAAGGUGACAGAUUGGAGGAGAAGGAUAUAUUGGUCUUUGCCACAGCACAUGGCAUAUGUGGAGGGUGAGUGAAGAGUAUUUGGGUAAGAGGAUGGAUUUGGGGACUCCUCUUUUGUCCUCAGUCACCACAGCUUUGGGAUGCCAGUACAGUAAGUCCUAAGCUGAAUGACAUUUAGGUCUCUACAUAGCAUCUCCCACAAGCACCGUAACCCCAAAUGUCCAAACUGAUAAAUGUUUAUGAUCUAUAAUAUUAAGCAAUGAAAAUAACACUGAUUAGGGGCCCCUGGAUGGCUCAGUCAGUUGAGCGUCCGACUUCAGGUCAUGAUCUCAAGGUU